GAUGAACGCUAGCUACAGGCUUAACACAUGCAAGUCGAGGGGAAACGAUAUUGGAAGCUUGCUUCCGAUAGGCGUCGACCGGCGCACGGGCGAGUAACGCGUAUCCAACCUGCCCAUCACUUGGGGAUAACCUUGCGAAAGUAAGACUAAUACCCAAUGACGUCUCUAGAAGACAUCUGAAAGAGAUUAAAUAUUUAUCGGUGCUCGAUGGGGAUGCGUCUGAUUAGCUUGUUGGCGGGGUAACGGCCCACCAAGGCGACGAUCAGUAGGGGUGCUGAGAGGAAGGUCCCCCACAUUGGAACUGAGACACGGUCCAAACUCCUACGGGAGGCAGCAGUGAGGAAUAUUGGUCAAUGGGCGAGAGCCUGAACCAGCCAAGUAGCGUGCAGGAUGACGGCCCUAUGGGUUGUAAACUGCUUUUAUAAGGGAAUAAAGUGGGAGUCGUGACUCCUUUUGCAUGUACCUUAUGAAUAAGGACCGGCUAAUUCCGUGCCAGCAGCCGCCGUAA
rnacentral:rRNA from 1 species